rnacentral:rRNA from 1 species
AUUGAACGCUGGCGGCAGGCCUAACACAUGCAAGUCGAACGAGUGGCGGACGGGUGAGUAAUGUCUGGGAAACUGCCUGAUGGAGGGGGAUAACUACUGGAAACGGUAGCUAAUACCGCAUACCAUCAGAUGUGCCCAGAUGGGAUUAGCUUGUUGGUGGGGUAACGGCUCACCAGGGCGACGUACCCUAGCUGGUCUGAGAGGAUGACCAGCCACCCUGGAACUUGGAAACGGUCCAGACUCCUACGGGAGGAAGCAGUGGGGAAUAUUGGACAAUGGGCGAAAGCCUGAUGCAGCAAUGCCGCGUGUAUGAAGAAGGCCUUCGGUUUGUAAAGUACUUUCAGCGGGGAGGCGUUACCCGCAGAGGAAGCAACGGCUAACUCCGUGCCAGCAGCCGCGGUAAUAC